CCAAUAGCGUAUAUUAAAGUUGUUGCAGUUAAAAAGCUCGUAGUUGAAUUUCGGGGUUAGUAGGUUGGUCAUGCCUCUGGUAUGUACUGGUCUCACUGAUUCCUCCUUCCUGAUGAACCUUAAUGCCAUUAAUUUGGUGUUUUGGGGAAUUUGGACUGUUACUUUGAAAAAAUUAGAGUGUUUAAAGCAGGCGCACGCUGGAAUACAUUAGCAUGGAAUAAUGAAAUAGGACGUUUGAUUCUAUUUUGUUGGUUUCUAGGAUCGACGUAAUGAUUAAUAGGGAUAGUUGGGGGCAUUAGUAUUCAAUUGUCAGAGGUGAAAUUCUUGGAUUUAUUGAAGACUAACUACUGCGAAAGCAUUUGCCAAGGAUGUUUUCAUUAAUCAAGAACGAAAGUUAGGGGAUCGAAGACGAUCAGAUACCGUCGUAGUCUUAACCAUAAACUAUGCCGACUAGGGAUCGGAUGAUGUUAAUUUUUUAAUGACUCAUUCGGCGCCUUACG
rnacentral:rRNA from 1 species